UCAUGCUGUCUCUGGUUCGGUGUUAGGG
rnacentral:piRNA from 1 species